rnacentral:ncRNA from 2 species
AGAAUGCCGCCCGAGCAAGGUGCCUGCGCAAGCAGGUGAAACGGGAAUCAGGAUAGUCCUGAGCUGCCCCCGCAACGGUAAGCCGCGUAGAACGAACCCAGUCAAGCCACUGCCUUUAUCUUCUGAAGGCGGGAAGGCGGGUUCUGGAGCGGCAAGCCCGGAGACCGGCCUUGCCCCGGCCAGUACC